rnacentral:rRNA from 1 species
UAUUGGUCAAUGGGCGAGAGCCUGAACCAGCCAAGUCGCGUGACGGAUGAAGGAUCUAUGGUUUGUAAACUUCUUUUAUAUGGGAAUAACGUGAGGAACGUGUUCCUUUUUGUAUGCUCCAUCUGAAUAAGCAUCGGCUAACUCCGUGCCAGCAGCCGCGGUAAUAAGGAGGCUGCGAGCGUUAUCCGGAUUUAUUGGGUUUAAAGGGUGCGUAGGUGGUUAAUUAAGUCAGCGGUGAAAGUUUGUGGCUCAACCAUAAAAUUGCCGUUGAAACUGGUUGACUUGAGUAUAUUUGAGGUAGGCGGAAUGCGUGGUGUAGCGGUGAAAUGCAUAGAUAUCACGCAGAACUCCGAUUGCGAAGGCAGCUUACUAAACUAUAACUGACACUGAAGCACGAAAGCGUGGGGAUCA